GUGAGGAAUAUUGCGCAAUGGAGGCAACUCUGACGCAGCCAUGCCGCGUGCAGGAAGAAGGCGCUACGCGUUGUAAACUGCUUUUAACCGGGAAGAAACCCCAGGACGUGUCCUGGGUUGACGGUACCGGAGGAAUAAGCACCGGCUAACUUCGUGCCAGCAGCCGCGGUAAUACGAAGGGUGCAAGCGUUAUCCGGAUUCAUUGGGUUUAAAGGGUGCGUAGGCGGAGCGUUAAGUCAGUGGUGAAAUCCUGCAGCUUAACUGUAGACUUGCCCUUGAUCCUGGCGCUCUUGAGUGCGCUUGAAGUGGGCGGAAUGUGCCGUGUAGCGGUGAAAUGCUUAGAUAUGGCACAGAACACCAAUUGCGAAGGCAGCUCACUAAGGCGAUACUGACGCUGAGGCACGAAAGCGUGGGGAUCGAACAGGAUUAGAAACCCGAGUAGUCC
rnacentral:rRNA from 1 species